rnacentral:rRNA from 1 species
AUUGAACGCUGGCGGCAUGCCUUACACAUGCAAGUCGAACGGCAGCACGGGUGCUUGCACCUGGUGGCGAGUGGCGAACGGGUGAGUAAUACAUCGGAACAUGUCCUGUAGUGGGGGAUAGCCCGGCGAAAGCCGGAUUAAUACCGCAUACGAUCCACGGAUGAAAGCGGGGGACCUUCGGGCCUCGCGCUAUAGGGUUGGCCGAUGGCUGAUUAGCUAGUUGGUGGGGUAAAGGCCUACCAAGGCGACGAUCAGUAGCUGGUCUGAGAGGACGACCAGCCACACUGGGACUGAGACACGGCCCAGACUCCUACGGGAGGCAGCAGUGGGGAAUUUUGGACAAUGGGCGAAAGCCUGAUCCAGCAAUGCCGCGUGUGUGAAGAAGGCCUUCGGGUUGUAAAGCACUUUUGUCCGGAAAGAAAUCCUUGACCCUAAUACAGUCGGGGGAUGACGGUACCGGAAGAAUAAGCACCGGCUAACUACGU